GUGACAGCCCCGUACACAAAAAUGCACAUGCUGUGAGCUCGAUGAGUAGGGCGGGACACGUGGUAUCCUGUCUGAAUAUGGGGGGACCAUCCUCCAAGGCUAAAUACUCCUGACUGACCGAUAGUGAACCAGUACCGUGAGGGAAAGGCGAAAAGAACCCCGGCGAGGGGAGUGAAAAAGAACCUGAAACCGUGUACGUACAAGCAGUGGGAGCCUCUUUAUGGGGUGACUGCGUACCUUUUGUAUAAUGGGUCAGCGACUUAUAUUCUGUAGCAAGGUUAACCGAAUAGGGGAGCCGAAGGGAAACCGAGUCUUAACUGGGCGUUAAGUUGCAGGGUAUAGACCCGAAACCCGGUGAUCUAGCCAUGGGCAGGUUGAAGGUUGGGUAACACUAACUGGAGGACCGAACCGACUAAUGUUGAAAAAUUAGCGGAUGACUUGUGGCUGGGGGUGAAAGGCCAAUCAAACCGGGAGAUAGCUGGUUCUCCCCGAAAGCUAUUUAGGUAGCGCCUCGUGAAUUCAUCUCCGGGGGUAGA
rnacentral:rRNA from 1 species